rnacentral:misc_RNA from 1 species
UUUCCGUAGGUGAACCUGCGGAGGGAUCAUUACCGUAUCUCAGACGUGGCAGGCCGGCCCUGACCGGUUUCCGUAAUGCCCUUUGCAGGGGGCCGCCCGUCGCGCCCAACCUUCACAAACCCCUGCGCCCCUUUACGGCGGCGGGGCGACGCCAUGUCCCAGUCCCACGCCGCAUAAUACCAACACCAGAUCUAAAAGAAUGAUCAGUGGCCACUAUGCCGCCUAAAAACAAAACCACUUUCAACAACGGCACUCAUGGCUCUCGCAUCGGUAAAGCAA